GAGAAGGUUGUUAUCCUAGGGGCACUGCAGACUACAGCUGGGGGGUUGUGGGCUUGGGUUUGCUCAGGGACUUUCACAGGCUGGAGCAGGGAGAAAAAUGCCCUAAGUUGUAGCCUGUGAGGUGAAAAGGCGAGCUUGCUGUGCAGAGGAGAGGAGCAUUGGAGGGGCAAUGGACAUGGACAUUUAGGGCUAGAUUUAGGAUAUAGGGAACCUUGGCUUAGGCCCAGCUCAGGGGCAGUUCCCAACCCUCAAGGCUUGGGGUUGGGAAGAGUUUGAGCUCAUGCCAGACUCAGUGUCACAGGGCUCCACAGCUCUGGUUGGGUGAGGGCAAAGGGGAUCACUUUAGUCAGGUCAGGCUCUGAGGUGGGGGACCAGAGAUCUCUCAAGUUAGACUAGAUGUACAGAUGGGAGGAGGAGGUUCCUUGAAGGUUCAGGUCAGUCUGGGGGAGAGCAGAUAAGAGCUCCCCCAGACUUUGGUUAGACAUGGGUGAGGGGGGAAGAGUUCUCCCAAACUUGGUAGAAGACCAGCUAACAGCUCUGGUUGAGUCAGGGUAGGGGCAAGCAGCAGUGGCCUCAAGGUUGGGUUGGGAUGCAAGGGGGUCAGAAGCAUUCCUCCAAAGCUCUUGUUGGGCACUGGGCUGGGGGAACCAGGGAUUUCCCAUGGCUCUUCACAGCUGGGUAAAAAGACUUUGGUGACUCAAAGGCCUGGCAGGUUUGGCACAUGUAGGAAAGGGGUGUGUGUGGGGGAAUCCAUAGGAUGGCCUUGGGUCUCACAUUUGGGAACUGAACAUUGCAGUGGCUGCGCAGGCAGGAAUAAUUACUCUUCAGGGGGCUCAGGAACUGAUGGCCAGUGUGAGGCGCAGCCACACAGGACAGGGGAAGACCACUGAGCAGCUCAUGCCUACCUACAACUUAAAUAAGCAGGGAGCUGGAGAUGAUGAACAGCCCUUCCUGGGUUACAUCCUGCCAGGAUGGGAGCAGAGGCAAUAUAGGCUCCAGGCCUGGAGCAGCCCUUAUAGCAAUCAACUGGUCCCUUCACCAGAGAAACACAGUCUUGGAUUGCCAGAUCCCUAGCAAGAAGCUUGGCUACUGAGAUAAGCGGAAAGGCUGAAUCAGAGCGCAGCAUUUGGGCUGACUGCAGCUGGAGAGCAUCCGGAAGUGGGCUCGUGCCCGCUGGGAAAGGGCUCAUUGGCUCCCCUGCUUUUCCAAGCUCACCUUUGCACAGAAUCUCAGGCUUGGAAGGGACCUCGGAGACUACCGAGUCCCACCGUCCUGGAACAAGAAUCCCCUCCACCACAAUCCCCAAUUUGGCCUUGGCUUCAAAGACUUCCAAGGAAGAGGAAACCACUUUCUCUUGAGGCACUCCUUUCCGUUCUGGGACUGCCCUCCACGGAGCUCAAAGUGGUCAUUCUGCAACCUCCACUCACUGCUCCUAAUUUUGCCACCUCACCCCUCAACAUCAAGCAGUCCCUCUCAUUCCACCCACAUGAGUCCUUCCAAUACCCAAGACAGCUACCAUGUUUCCAAGUCUUCUCUUUGCUGGGCGAAAUAUCCCCAGGUUCCUUCAAAUGAUCCUCUUAUGGCACGGUCUCAAGGCCUCUCACCAUAAUAGUGACCCCUCCUACGUCACCCUCUAGCUUAUCAAUAUCCUUCUUAAAAUGUGGUGGCUAUUUGCUGUUCACAAUGAUGUGGGCUGUGCCUUCACCUCCCUAGUUCUGGACACUGCCAGUAUUAUGCUUCCAGUCUUAGUUCACUUGGGGCUUUAGUGGUCAUGUGGCAUUUGCUUUCCUGACAAUCUGAGCACCCUCUAACGCAGUUGAUGGGACUUUGGCUUCUUCUUGUGGUCAAUUGUCUCACUGGACUGGGAACUGCUUCCUGGUGCCCUGGCAGGUGAAGGAGCCAGGGCAGGGGGCUCUAGAAAAGGCUGGCUUCUCAAAGUUAUUGUCACUCGGGCUCUGUUUCGUUGGCCGCGUCUCCCUCUUGUGUAGCACUUCUGGGCAUAUGAACUGAAGAAGGCGGUAGUGACAGACACAGAACCAUAAUGGUUCCUGAACAUCUUGCUGUUUUCUUCCAAGUUCUCCCCAGAACAGAUUGGAAAAUGGGCAAAUUGUCCCUGAGUUCAUGAAUUGGGCUUGUGGGCUUGGGAGGUGGAGCCAUGAUGGGUCUUCUCAGGCUGCCCUCCUUGGGACCUGCGGGGGACUGCUGACGUGAUGGGGGGGUGGCAGACUGGGCGUGGCUCUAGGUCCAAUUCCACUGUCUACUGAGUCAUGUCUGGGGCAACAAGGAUGGUGCUCAGUGUUUGGCUUUCCCGAUUCCCCGGGUUUAUUCACUGUAGCACUGCGCAGCUGGUGGGUUAGGUAUGGGGAAGGGAAUAACCUGGCCCAGCAGUUUUCCUAUGCCCUAUGAACCUCAGGGACAAGUGCGAGCUCAGCUUCUAUUAACAACCCUCUCACUCAGCCUGACAACAAAAUCCUCUGGAAUCCUGUUGGUGACCAAGGCCUAAACAAACACUAUUAAUGGCUAUUGCAUCAAAGCAAUCAGGGUGUUUUCCCACUCCCCUAGCUCCCUGAGCUCUAAUGAGGAAAGCUCUGAACCUGAAGGUCCCUUUUAUCCCUGUUGGGACCUUAUCAAGCUCUUGAAGGCUUUCUGGUGCUAUGCAAAACCCUCUAAGACCUGGCUGCAAAGGCUGCAGCCUUAUAAGGGGAAGCUAUGGCUGGGCGGUAUCUGUGAACCCCACUAGAGCUACUUUUCAGUGCUUUGGGGAAAUUCAGCCCCUAUAACAUCCUUGGAGUUCUGCUGGGAAAACUGUUAUAUUGGAAAGCAAUCUUAGUUUUUCUGAGGGAACCAGUGAUACUUAGCAAGAGCUACCAGGGAAAGAGCACUAUGGCACAAAGUGGCUCUUGGAAGGAGUACCAGUGUGGAGAAGCAAACCGCAGAUUUCCCCAUUUGCUGGAUUCCCACCCAGGGCAGUACUAGAAUUAAAGAAUAUUUGGGAAACUGGAUUUGGAGGGCCUAGGAAUGCUCUGAGCUCCUUGGAGUCUGAAGACCAGAUCCUAAAUAGGCACCCAGAGGGAGACAGUGAAAGAAGAAAACGGGAGCUUUGGCAUUUGAGGACCACCUGUACCAAUCCAACCAAGCCACGUCUUUACAAGGUCUAAAAGGAGCCUAACACUAGGCAUGGGGGCAGGAAUGAGGGAAUCAAGUUAUUCUACUGAAUGGUUAAAUGAAUGGAUUCUAUCACCACCACCA